rnacentral:rRNA from 1 species
CGGCAGCGCGGGGCAACCUGGCGGCGAGUGGCGAACGGGUGAGUAAUAUAUCGGAACGUACCCUGGAGUGGGGGAUAACGUAGCGAAAGUUACGCUAAUACCGCAUACGAUCUAAGGAUGAAAGUGGGGGAUCGCAAGACCUCAUGCUCCUGGAGCGGCCGAUAUCUGAUUAGCUAGUUGGCGGGGUAAAAGCCCACCAAGGCAACGAUCAGUAGCUGGUCUGAGAGGACGACCAGCCACACUGGAACUGAGACACGGUCCAGACUCCUACGGGAGGCAGCAGUGGGGAAUUUUGGACAAUGGGCGCAAGCCUGAUCCAGCAAUGCCGCGUGAGUGAAGAAGGCCUUCGGGUUGUAAAGCUCUUUUGUCAGGGAAGAAACGGUGGGGGCUAAUAUCCCCCGCUAAUGACGGUACUUGAAGAAUAAGCACCGGCUAACUACGUGCCAGCAGCCGCGGUAAUACGUAGGGUGCAAGCGUUAAUCGGAAUUACUGGGCGUAAAGCGUGCGCAGGCGGUUUUGUAAGUCUGUCGUGAAAUCCCCGGGCUCAACCUGGGAAUUGCGAUGGAGACUGCAAGGCUAGAGUUUGGCAGAGGGGGGUAGAAUUCCACGUGUAGCAGUGAAAUGCGUAGAUAUGUGGAGGAACACCGAUGGCGAAGGCAGCCCCCUGGGUCAAAACUGACGCUCAUGCACGAAAGCGUGGGGAGCAAACAGGAUUAGAUACCCUGGUAGUCCACGCCCUAAACGAUGUCUACUAGUUGUCGGGUCUUAAUUGACUUGGUAACGCAGCUAACGCGU